rnacentral:rRNA from 1 species
GUAGGGAAUAUUGGGCAAUGGAGGCAACUCUGACCCAGCCAUGCCGCGUGCAGGAUGACGGCCCUCUGGGUUGUAAACUGCUUUUAACCGGGAAGAAACCCCAGGACGUGUCCUGGGUUGACGGUACCGGAGGAAUAAGCACCGGCUAACUUCGUGCCAGCAGCCGCGGUAAUACGAAGGGUGCAAGCGUUAUCCGGAUUCAUUGGGUUUAAAGGGUGCGUAGGCGGAGCGUUAAGUCAGUGGUGAAAUCCUGCAGCUUAACUGUAGACUUGCCAUUGAUACUGGGGCUCUUGAGUGCGCUUGAAGUGGGCGGAAUGUGCCGUGUAGCGGUGAAAUGCUUAGAUAUGGCACAGAACACCAAUUGCGAAGGCAGCUCACUAAGGCGAUACUGACGCUGAGGCACGAAAGCGUGGGGAUCGAACAGGAUUAGAAACCCUGGUAGUCC